rnacentral:rRNA from 1 species
GAUUAAGUUAUUAAGGGCGUACGGUGGAUACCUAGGCACUAAGAGACGAAGACGGACGUGGCAAGCUGCGAUAAGCCUUGACGAGCUGCAAACAAGUGUUGACUCAAGGAUGUCCUAAUGAGAAACUCGGCACAGGUAAUGCUGUGUCAUCCUAUAGUGAAUACAUAGCUAUAGGAGGGUAACUGGGUGAACUGAAACAUCUUAGUAACCCCAGGAAGAGAAAGCGAAUGCGAUUCCCCUAGUAGCGGCGAGCGAAGAGGGAACAGCCCAAACUGUGUUAGUGUAAGUUUAUGGACGUUGCUAACGCAGGGUAGUAGGUUCUAUCAAGAUACCCCAUAAGGUAUCACAGUUAAGACUUUUUGCUAGUUGAAUCAGCUGGGAAGCUGAACCACAGAGGGUAAUAGUCCCGUAGGUGAAAGUAAAAAGAGGCUGGAUAGAGACCUGAGUAUUACGAGUCACGUGGAACCUCGUGAGAAGCAAGGAGGCCCAUCUCCUAAGGCUAAAUACUACUUAGUGACCGAUAGUGAACCAGUACCGCGAGGGAAAGGUGAAAAGAACCCCGGGAGGGGAGUGAAAUAGAAUUUGAAACCGUAUGCUUACAAGCGGUCAGAGGGCGUAUAUAUAUCAGCCUGAUGGCGUGCUUUUUGCUUAACGAACCGGCGAGUUAUGUCAAGGUGGCGAAGGUUAAGCCGAGAAGGUGGAGCCGCAGCGAGAGCGAGUCUGAAGAGGGCGCAAGUCGCCUGGCAUAGACCCGAAACCUAGUGACCUAUUCAUGGUCAGGAUGAAGCAUGUGUAAGAACAUGUGGAGGUCCGAACUCAUUGACGUUGAAAAGUCAUGAGAUGAACUGUGAAUAGGGGUGAAAGGCCAAUCGAACUAGGAAAUAGCUGGUUCUCUCCGAAAUAGCUUUAGGGCUAGCCUCAAGUAUUGUGACUUGGUGGUAGAGCACUGAUUGGACAAGGGGCUUUUAAGCUACCAAAUCCAGUCAAACUCCGAAUAGCAAGUCACGUUAAACUUGGGAGUCAGACUACGGGGGAUAAGCUGCGUAGUCGAGAGGGGAACAACCCAGAUCGUCAGCUAAGGUCCCAAAGUGUGAACUAAGUGGAAAAGGAAGUGAAGUUGCCUAGACAACCAGGAUGUUGGCUUAGAACCAGCCAUUCAUUUAAAGAGUGCGUAAUAGCUCACUGGUCGAGUGAUUUUGCGCUGAAAAUGUCCGGGGCUCAAGUUCACCACCGAAGCUACGGAUCGAGAGAUGGUAGGAGAGCAUUCUAUAGGGGACGAAGCAGUACCGAAAGGAGCUGUGGACCGUAUAGAAGAGAUAAUGCCGGUAUGAGUAACGAGAGACAGGUAAGAAUCCUGUCCGCCGAAAACCUAAGGUUUCCUGAGGAAGGCUCGUCCUCUCAGGGUAAGUCGGAUCCUAAGCUGAGGCCGAAAGGCGUAGGCAAUGGGAAGUUGGUCAAAAUUCCAACACCACCUUAUUUAACGUUUGAGUGAUGUAGUGACGCAGGAGGAUAA